ACACUGAAGCGGGCUCCGUUUGCAAUGAAUAAAACAGAACACCAUUCUCAUUCUUAAAAAGCACAUUUUCUUUCUAAUCCUCACCGAAGAUGAUCGAGGUAGGUCGAAAGUUUCGAAGAAAUCAUCACCUGCGAUAUAAACACCACAUUGUUCACAUUCCGCAGCGUAAACAUCUUAGGGAGCGCUGAUUGCAGUGAAUAAAUUGAGAAGGAUAUUAGUGAGUAUAUGUUUCGUUACUCGCUGAAUGAAACUCGUGUUUCGAUGCCUUGGGUAAGUGACAUUUCCUUCCCAGCCGAUUCAUCAACAACUCAAAUCAAGCAAAUCUACUGCUACUGCUCGUUAUUCAAAACAUUUCGCGAAGAGUAACAUGCGUGAGUGUAACAUGAUUGCUUUUUUUCAUUAUGUAAAUUUUCCAUUGUCUACUCGCCGCUUUUUCAAACCUAUAAGUCCUUUUUUUUUUACACAACAACGAAAUACAAGAGAAAAUUAUAGCACCGAACAACAAAGGCACAUGAAUCGCGCAUUUUUUCGACCGUGAGCGCAAAAAAAUCGUAUAUACGCGUCUAACUACCCUGCGUCUGAGCGUAUGAAAUUUGUCUGCGCAGUUAACGUCUACGCGAGAGGUACGGUAGUAGGUUACAAGUUUUGGCUCAGUGAAACUUUUGGAAGCUUGGAGCCUAACUUGCCUAGGAUCGAGGCUAGAAAAAGGCUCUGAAUGGAAGUGCUUACCGAAGCAACCUAGAUUUUACUUGGACUGGAAUAUCAAACUGUAGAAGAUUUGCAAACUUCGGCUGAACGGACAGCUGAACCACAGAUCGAAGAAGGGCAACUAAUCACUGUGAUAAAGGGAUGUGUUUGAGAGUCACAUGUAAAGAUAGAUCAAUCGGAUGAGUUUGGAAAUAUGAGCAAGGAGGAGUGCAGUCCUAAACGACGUCGGAUGUAUCAUAUCAUCAUCGGAACAGCUCAGAUACUGUCCAGAGCCAUGGAGGAGGAAAGAGUUGUGCCAACAAAAUAAUUAAUCAGCUGCCAUGCAAUGGGAGAUAUUCCUCCAGUCAGAGAUACCAUCAUGGCAACUGACUGGAGGUGGUGGUGGAGUUUGUGGGGAAAGGAAUCAUUGUCCUCACAUCAGAGUUGUCCGCACAACUGGAAAAAUUCCCUCAUGGGGAUGUCUCUGUCCUGGUCCCUGAAGGUUCAUGUAAUGAAAGGGGAAAAAUGUAUGCCAAGGGAAAAGCAGUGUUCAAUCUAUUAUGGAAAUGGCUGAUCUUCCAGUUGCUUUUGGACCAAAGAUGGCUGACAAACUUUCUGCUUCCCUCUCUCAUCAGAAAAAAAGAGUUUUUGAAUCUACUCCAGGGUUGUAAUCUGGCCUCUCUAUCUUAGUAUAUGUACAUGGUGCAUCAGUACUUGGUGAAGCCUUGACACAUGUUAUUAGUGGUUUGUCAUCCAUUGUGGAGUCAGAGGAUGUCAGUGAGUGGUCCAAGGCAAUUAAGAAGGUCAGGGACAUGGCUAGGACAGUACAGCUUAAAGAGGCUGAUUUACUGCGGAAACAUUGCAGUGAGAAGUACAGUUGGGAGAAACAGUGUGGAGAUGGUGUUGAGGAGAUGCUGAAGAUGGCAUCUGCUCAGCAAGACUAGACUCAGUAACAUGGAAUCUGAGUGAAUGCAUUGCUUAGCCAAACAAGACCAAACACCCUUAACCGGCAUGAGAGGAUGUGAAAUGAACAAUAAUGUAUUCCUUUGUUACUGUAAAGAAUAUGUACGCAGACCCCUGACAUUUUUUACCUGUUUGCAUUUGCCCAGUGCCUGGCUUAUUUUUUUCAGAACAAUGGUUAUUAAAG